rnacentral:rRNA from 1 species
GGUUAAGCGACUAAGCGUACACGGUGGAUGCCCUGGCAGUCAGAGGCGAUGAAGGACGUGCUAAUCUGCGAUAAGCGUCGGUAAGGUGAUAUGAACCGUUAUAACCGGCGAUUUCCGAAUGGGGAAACCCAGUGUGAUUCGUCACACUAUCAUUACGUGAAUACAUAGCGUAAUGAAGCGAACCGGGGGAACUGAAACAUCUAAGUACCCCGAGGAAAAGAAAUCAACCGAGAUUCCCCCAGUAGCGGCGAGCGAACGGGGAGCAGCCCAGAGUCUGAAUCAGCUUGUGUGUUAGUGGAACGGUCUGGAAAGUCCGACGGUACAGGGUGAUAGUCCCGUACACCAAAAUGCACAGGUUGUGAACUCGAAGAGUAGGGCGGGACACGUGGUAUCCUGUCUGAAUAUGGGGGGACCAUCCUCCAAGGCUAAAUACUCCUGACUGACCGAUAGUGAACCAGUACCGUGAGGGAAAGGCGAAAAGAACCCCGGCGAGGGGAGUGAAAAAGAACCUGAAACCGUGUACGUACAAGCAGUGGGAGCAUCCUUUUGGGUGUGACUGCGUACCUUUUGUAUAAUGGGUCAGCGACUUAUAUUCUGUAGCAAGGUUAACCGUAUAGGGGAGCCGAAGGGAAACCGAGUCUUAACUGGGCGUUAAGUUGCAGGGUAUAGACCCGAAACC